rnacentral:lncRNA from 10 species
GGGGCGGCGAGGCGAGGCCUGCGGAGCGGAGGAAGACAAACAUAAAGAUGAAGUGCUUAAUUCAAGGUCACACAAUGUCGGGGAUGGACCUCCAGAUUUCCUUACUGACCUGCAUUAUCUUGUGGAUACCUGAGUGAAUUCCACACCACCCAUUUUAUAGAUGAAACCACUGAGACAUGGAGCAAUUGACUGAGUAGUCACUGCCCCACCCCUGCCUGGAGCCUCACACAUGACUCGCCUCCUCUCAGUGACCACAGGUUGGUUGAGGGGUUUAACAAGGCUAAGAAGAGACGGAGUCUUGCUAUGUUGCCCAGGCUGGUCUUGAACUCCUCACCUCAAGCGAUCCUCCCGUCUUGGCCUCCCAAGUGUCAGGAUUACGGGCAUGUGCUAUCACACCCAACCUGAUACAUUGCCUUUAUAAAUUUUUUUUUCUUUAUUCUAAAAACCAGAAAAAACAAAACUGGAUACAUGUGCAGAACAUGCAGGUGAGACGUGGUCUUGUAACACAGUGGUUAAGAAUGUGACUUUGGAGCCAGCCUGCUAGGGGCUGAAUUCUGACUCAGCCAUUUACUAACUGUGUGACCUUAGGUAAGUCAUUUACCUUCUUUGUCCCUCAGUUUCAUCUCGGUUAAGUAGGGAUAAUGAUAGCACCUAUUUUAUAGGGUUAUUGUGAGGAAUAAAUCCAAGUAAAAUGCUUAGAAUAGUAACUGAAACAUAGCACUCAUUAGGAAUGCUUUAAUUUUCAUUUAUUUGAGUAUUAAAGGUUGAAUUUUC